AUUGAACGCUGGCGGCAUGCCUUACACAUGCAAGUCGGGCGAGUGGCGGACGGGUGAGUAAUGCAUGGGGACGUACCCGAUAGAGGGGGAUAACUAUUCGAAACGGUGGCUAAUACCGCAUAUUAUUCGAUGGGCCCAUGUGUGAUUAGCUGGUAGGCGGGGUAAAGGCCCACCAAGGCGACGAUCGGUAGCGGGUCUGAGAGGAUGAUCAGCCACACUGGGACUGAGACACGGCCCAGACUCCUACGGGAGGCAGCAGUGGGGAAUUUUGGACAAUGGGCGCAAGCCUGAUGCAGCCAUGCCGCGUGUCUGAAGAAGGCCUUCGGGUUGUAAAGUACUUUUGUCAGGGAGGCGGUACCUGAAGAAGAAGCACCGGCUAACUCCGUGCCAGCAGCCGCGGUAAUAC
rnacentral:rRNA from 1 species